CCUAGAUUAGAGAAGGUUUCACACUAGUAAUUCAAAAAGGAAUCGAAAACAGUCAGGCUAUGAUCACCGCAGAACUGGGGAGAAGAGAAGAUUUUCAGCCAUCGCACUCUCUUAUAGGUUUUAAGAGACCGAAAGCCACAGAUCAGCUCUUUGAACGUCUCUCAGGUUCCCUUAUCUAUAGAAAUAAUCAUCAACAAGAAGGAAACAUACCCAGCAGGCUAAAAUAAACCUUACCAUGAAGCUCAAUGCUUGCAAUCCAAAACCUAAAUAAAACUAUACACAAAAAGGGAAACACACUUCUCUAGACAAGAAAGGCC
rnacentral:misc_RNA from 1 species